UAGGGUGAAGUCGUAACAAGGUAGCCGUAGGAGAACCUGCGGCUGGAUCACCUCCUUUCUAAGGAAUA
rnacentral:rRNA from 1 species